AGAUAGAAAAUGGCAUAUGAAGGUGGACAUUAAUUCCUCAGUUGCCACUGGGUGGAGCUCCUCACACACACACACAAACCGAUUGUUCACCCAGGUGUCCCUCACUAGGUCACAUGACCAAACAGGUGUCUAUAAAUUAAACCCUUUUCGGCCAAUUAGUGGGACGUUAUAAGACAGACAUGCCUUGAUGUGUGGUUGCGUUUUUAUGCAACAGCAUAAAAGUGGCUGAAUUAUUUAUCCGCGUGAAGGAAUUGCUGGUUUAGAAUAGCAUUCCUUGUUCCAUGAAAGUUUCAGUGAGUGAAGAUAACUGUGUGGAUUAUAAUGAUUUUGAUUCAAUGGAGAGGACUUUUGUUUGUUUUCUACCUUGGAACAGUUCUGUAUGUCUACAGGACGUCGUUGGCCCGUUGUCCUCCAGAACUGAAGAAUGGCAGCAAGGCCAGAUGACUCAUGUGAACAGCAACCACUGUCGGCCUCACCUUCUCCAUUUGGCAGGCUGUUAUCUUCUCGUACCCUCAAUGCUCCCUCUAGUUAUCGCUACAUUGACAAUGAAGUGUAGAUAAUGCUGUGAUUCUGUGAUGUAAUAAUACUGAUAAAUGAAAUUAACACAUUCA